CUCUCUCUCUAAACCUAAUCGCCGUUCUUCUCUUCUUCGACUUGGUUUUGCUCUGACCGGCGCGUGGCGGCUCCGAUAGCGCCGGCGUCGGUCCUCUGUCUUGUUUAUUGUCUCUGCUUUCUUCGGCGGUGAAGCGUGGGGGUUUUGGUGAAGGGGUUUGGAUGGUCACAGAAUCUCAGAUCUGAAGAGUUUUGGCUUAAGGAGACCGGAAUCGUCGUGCCUCAUGGUCGUUGGUGUAGAUGGAGUCGCCAUUCUGCUACAGCCGUGGUUUCUCGUCUUGUCUUUGGUCAAGUGUUUCAUUGUUUUGAGCAUCGAAGGCGAGGUCCUUUGUCUUUCUCUAGAUCAGAGAGACAGCGACUCUGUUCUCGGUGGCUCGCCCGGUUGACUUGCUUUUGCGGAAUGUGUCUUGGAGUUUGCUAGUGGUUUGUCUCUGCUUUGCCUUUCCAUGGUGUCUCUGGGCUGAGUUUUCAUUCGGUUUCCUCAUCUUACAAAUCGCGGAUGGUUAAGUUCACCCACAUGUUUGGGUUUCCUCCGGUUUUGUUAGAAGGUUGGUUUGCUCGUCUUCGUUUCGCGGUUCAGCAGGAUCCUCUCAGUUUAGUUAGUCGUGUGAUCUUGGACUGAAAGAGUUGAGCAAGUGCGUUCAUCUUCCUUCGUCAAUUUCUCUGUCAGGUUUCUCGAUUCGAUUUCUGUAUCUCGCCAUGUUCGUCGUUCUCAUGUAUGGGCUUAAUUGAGACUAAGCUAUUAGCGGUUCCACCUAUUUCCGUAGAUUGUAAUUUCCCUCGUUUGGGCUUAAGUUUCUCUCGUUUGGGCUUUUUGAUGAUUGUCCGCCUCUUUUGGCCUUAAGUUUCUGGGGGUUUCUAUGUACCCGCCGGCUUUGUCUCCGAAAGGAUUUUGUUCUUUGUCGGCUUUGUAUAACUCAAUCGCAUUCUAUCAAUAGACGAAAAAAUAUAUAUAUAUAUUAAAA